rnacentral:rRNA from 1 species
CGAGAGGUGCAAGACCUCGGCGUACUGCUCAGUAACACGUGGACAAUCUGCCCUGAAGAGGAGGAUAAUCCCGGGAAACUGGGGGUAAUACUCCAUAGUUCGUGCUGACUGGAAUGUUAUGCGAACGAAAGAUCCGUCGCUUCAGGAUGAGUCUGCGGCCGAUUAGGUAGUUGUUGGGGUAACGGCCCAACAAGCCUGUCAUCGGUACGGGUUGUGGGAGCAAGAGCCCGGAGAUGGAUUCUGAGACACGAAUCCAGGCCCUACGGGGUGCAGCAGGCGCGAAAACUUUACAAUGCGGGAAACCGUGAUAAGGGAAUCUCGAGUGCCAGCAUAUAAUGUUGGCUGUCCAGAUGCCUAAAAAGCAUCUGUUAGCAAGGGUUGGGCGAGACCGGUGCCAGCCGCCGCGGUAACACCGGCGGCCCGAGUGGUAACCGCUUUUAUUGGGUCUAAAGGGUCUGUAGCCGGCCAAGUAAGUCCCUUGGGAAAUCUGGCAGCUUAACUGUCAGGCUGCUAGGGGAUACUGCUAGGCUUGGGACCGGGAGAGGUGAGAGGUACCUUGGGGGUAGGGGUGAAAUCUUGUGAUCCUCGGGGGACCACCAGUGGCGAAGGCGUCUCACCAGAACGGGUCCGACGGUAAGGGACGAAAGCUAGGGGCACGAACCGGAUUAGAUACCCGGGUAGUCCUAGCCGUAAACGAUGCUCGCUAGGUGUCAGUCACGGUGCGACCGUGAUUGGUGCCGUAGGGAAGCCGUGAAGCGAGCCACCUGGGAAGUAUGGCCGCAAGGCUGAAACUUAAAG